rnacentral:rRNA from 1 species
UACGUAGGGUGCAAGCGUUAAUCGGAAUUACUGGGCGUAAAGCGUGCGCAGGCGGUGAUGUAAGACAGGUGUGAAAUCCCCGGGCUUAACCUGGGAACUGCAUUUGUGACUGCAUCGCUGGAGUGCGGCAGAGGGGGAUGGAAUUCCGCGUGUAGCAGUGAAAUGCGUAGAUAUGUGGAGGAACACCGAUGGCGAAGGCAGCCCCCUGGGCUGAGAUUGACGCUCAGGCACGAAAGCGUGGGGAGCAAACAGG